rnacentral:rRNA from 1 species
UACGUAGGUGGCAAGCGUUGUCCGGAUUUACUGGGUGUAAAGGGCGUGUAGGCGGGACGGCAAGUCAGGUGUGAAAUUCCCAAGGCUCAACCUUGGAACUGCACUUGAAACUGUUGUUCUUGAGUGAUGGAGAGGCAGGCGGAAUUCCCUGUGUAGCGGUGAAAUGCGUAGAUAUAGGGAGGAACACCAGUGGCGAAGGCGGCCUGCUGGACAUUAACUGACGCUGAGGCGCGAAAGCGUGGGGAGCAAACAGGAUUAGAUACCCU